rnacentral:miRNA from 1 species
UGCCUCCAUUCUCUUGGGCAG